ACGGAGGGUGCGAGCGUUGUCCGGAAUCACUGGGCGUAAAGGGCGCGUAGGCGGCGCGAGGAGUCGGGGGUGAAAGUCCGGGGCUCAACCCCGGAUCGGCCUUCGAUACUCUCGCGCUGGAGCACAGUAGAGGCGGGUGGAAUUCCGGGUGUAGCGGUGGAAUGCGUAGAGAUCCGGAAGAACACCGGUGGCGAAGGCGGCCAUCUGGGCCGGCACUGACGCUGAGGCGCGAAAGCCAGGGGAGCGAAUGGGA
rnacentral:rRNA from 1 species